rnacentral:rRNA from 1 species
ACGAACGCUGGCGGCGUGCCUAAUACAUGCCAGUCGAGCGGACGAAUCGAAAGCUUGCUUUUGAUUCGUUAGCGGCGGACGGGUGAGUAACACGUGGGCAACCUGCCCUGUAGACGGGGAUAACACCGAGAAAUCGGUGCUAAUACCGGAUAACACGAAAUGUCGCAUGACGUUUCGUUGAAAGACGGCGCAAGCUGUCGCUACAGGAUGGGCCCGCGGCGCAUUAGCUAGUUGGUGAGGUAACGGCUCACCAAGGCGACGAUGCGUAGCCGACCUGAGAGGGUGAUCGGCCACACUGGGACUGAGACACGGCCCAGACUCCUACGGGAGGCAGCAGUAGGGAAUCUUCCGCAAUGGACGAAAGUCUGACGGAGCAACGCCGCGUGAGCGAAGAAGGCCUUCGGGUCGUAAAGCUCUGUUGUUAGGGAAGAACAAGUAACGCAGUAACUGGCGUUACCGUGACGGUACCUAACGAGAAAGCCACGGCUAACUACGUG